GUAGUACUUCGGCACUAUACACAGUAACAUUGGAGUAAUAGAGGGAAGACGAACGUGGCCCCUGCACAAGGAUUACGUGAGAUUGGAUACCAGAAAUACUUGCUACUUCU
rnacentral:snRNA from 1 species